AUCCAACUGACGAGUCACCAAUAGAAUGAAACGCGCGUCCUGGAU
rfam:Schistosoma mattheei strain Denwood, Zambia genome assembly, scaffold: SMTD_scaffold0024952